rnacentral:rRNA from 1 species
UACGUAGGGACAAGCGUUGUUCGGAUUUACUGGGCGUAAAGGGCGCGUAGGCGGCGUGACAAGUCACUUGUGAAAUCUCCGGGCUUAACUCGGAACGGUCAAGUGAUACUGUCGUGCUAGAGUGCAGAAGGGGCAAUCGGAAUUCUCGGUGUAGCGGUGAAAUGCGUAGAUAUCAAGAGGAACACCUGAGGUGAAGACGGGUUGCUGGGCUGACACUGACGCUGAGGCGCGAAAGCUAGGGGAGCAAACGGG